UACAGAGGGUGCGAGCGUUGUCCGGAAUCAUUGGGCGUAAAGGGCGCGUAGGUGGCGGCUUAAGCGUGCGGUGAAAGCUCGGGGCUCAACCCCGAGUCGGCCGUGCGAACUGAGUCGCUUGAGCACUGUAGAGGCAGGCGGAAUUCCGGGUGUAGCGGUGGAAUGCGUAGAGAGUCCGGAAGAACACCGGUGGCGAAGGCGGCUGCUGGG
rnacentral:rRNA from 1 species